AUACUUACCUUCUUGAAAUCAGGCUGCUCACGAAUAGCCUUGAUUAUUCGACGAGAUCUCCAUUGCACAACGGGGCAUCAAGACGAAUUGACUUUCCUUCGGGGACGUCAUCGGGGGAAUUUUUGAUUGCUUCCUUCGGGAAUAU
rnacentral:snRNA from 14 species